UACAGAGGGUGCAAGCGUUGUUCGGAAUUAUUGGGCGUAAAGCGCGUGUAGGCGGCUUUGCAAGUCGGGUGUGAAAGCCCUCAGCUCAACUGAGGAAGUGCGCCCGAAACUGCAGAGCUUGAGUACCGGAGAGGAUGGCGGAAUUCCCCAAGUAGAGGUGAAAUUCGUAGAUAUGGGGAGGAACACCGGUGGCGAAGGCGGGCCACCUGGACGGAUACUGACGCUGAGACGCGAAAGCGUGGGGAGCAAACAGG
rnacentral:rRNA from 1 species